rnacentral:rRNA from 1 species
GACAGAGGGUGCGAACGUUGUUCGGAAUUACUGGGCGUAAAGCGCGUGUAGGCGGCAGCGCAAGUCGGGCGUGAAAUCCCACGGCUCAACCGUGGAAGUGCACGUCGAAACUGCGCAGCUAGAGUCCUGGAGAGGAAGGUGGAACUGCGAGUGUAGAGGUGAAAUUCGUAGAUAUUCGCAAGAACACCAGUGGCGAAGGCGGCUCACUGGCCCGGUACUGACGCUGAGGUGCGAAAGCG